CGUAGGCGGCUGGUCGCGUCAGAUGUGAAAGCCCCGGGCUCAACCUGGGAUGUGCAUUUGAUACGGAUCGGCUUGAAUUCGGGAGAGGGUAGUGGAAUUCCCAGUGUAGAGGUGAAAUUCGUAGAUAUUGGGAAGAACACCGGUGGCGAAGGCGGCUGCCUGGCCCGAGAUUGACGCUGAGGCGCGAAAGCGUGGGGAGCAAACA
rnacentral:rRNA from 1 species